rnacentral:misc_RNA from 1 species
AUUGUGACUAGCUCCCUAAUGAAGGACAUGAAUAGUAAGACUGAUAUGUAUCGGGCAAAUGCCAUUCGUGUGCUUUGUCGGAUUACAGAUGGAACCCUUCUCACCCAGAUCGAGAGGUAUCUGAAACAAGCAAUUGUAGAUAAGAAUCCUGUGGUAGCUAGUGCUGCCUUAGUCAGUGGCAUUCAUUUGCUUCAGACAAAUCCAGAAAUUGUCAAGCGG